rnacentral:tRNA from 1 species
AUUACUUUGGCAGAAUAGUGCCUUAGAUUUAGAAUCUAAAUAAGAGAUUUACCUCUCAGGUAAUA